UACGUAGGGGGCUAGCGUUGUCCGGAAUCAUUGGGCGUAAAGCGCGUGUAGGCGGCUCGAUAAGUCUGCUGUGAAAGUCCAGGGCUCAACCCUGGAAUGCCGGUGGAAACUGUCGAGCUAGAGUCCGGAAGAGGCGAGUGGAAUUCCUGGUGUAGCGGUGAAAUGCGCAGAUAUCAGGAGGAACACCAAUGGCGAAGGCAGCUCGCUGGGACGGUACUGACGCUGAGACGCGAAAGCGUGGGGAGCGAACAGG
rnacentral:rRNA from 1 species